rnacentral:tRNA from 1 species
UGUAGCUCAGUGGUGGAGCACUUGCCUAGCAUGCAGGAAACCCUGGGUUCCAUCCACAGCA